rnacentral:rRNA from 1 species
UACGGAGGGUGCGAGCGUUGUUCGGAAUCACUGGGCGUAAAGGGCGUGUAGGCGGUCUGCUAAGUCUGAUGUGUAAGCCCGGGGCUCACCCCCGGAAGGGCAUUGGAAACUGGCGGACUCGAGUCCCGGAGAGGAGGGUGGAAUUCCUGGUGUAGCGGUGAAAUGCGCAGAUAUCAGGAGGAACACCGGUGGCGAAGGCGGUUCUCUGGGCAUUACCUGACGCUGAGGAGCGAAAGUGUGGGGAGCGAACAGG